rnacentral:rRNA from 1 species
GAUGAACGCUGGCGGCGUGCCUAAUACAUGCAAGUCGAGCGAACAGACGAGGAGCUUGCUCCUCUGACGUUAGCGGCGGACGGGUGAGUAACACGUGGAUAACCUACCUAUAAGACUGGGAUAACUUCGGGAAACCGGAGCUAAUACCGGAUAAUAUAUUGAACCGCAUGGUUCAAUAGUGAAAGACGGUUUUACUGUCACUUAUAGAUGGAUCCGCGCCGCAUUAGCUAGUUGGUAAGGUAACGGCUUACCAAGGCAACGAUGCGUAGCCGACCUGAGAGGGUGAUCGGCCACACGGGAACUGAGACACGGUCCAGACUCCUGCGGGAGGCAGCAGUAGGGAAUCUUCCGCAAUGGGCGAAAGCUUGGCGGAGCAACGCCGCGUGAGUGAUGAAGGUCUUCGGAUCGGAAAACUCUGUUAUUAGGGAAGAACAAAUGUGUAAGUAACUAUGCCCGUCUUGACGGUACCUAAUCAGAAAGCAACGGCUAACUACGUG